rnacentral:piRNA from 1 species
CUGAUGUUUACAGCCUGACACUGAU